UUGUGGAAACUGGGUCUAAUACCGGAUAGGAGCCAUCUUUAGUGUGUGGUUGGAAAGUUUUUUCGGUGUAGGAUGAGCUCGCGGCCUAUCAGCUUGUUGGUGGGGUAAUGGCCUACCAAGGCGGCGACGGGUAGCCGGCCUGAGAGGGUGUACGGCCACAUUGGGACUGAGAUACGGCCCAG
rnacentral:rRNA from 1 species